CAGUCCACACAAAUCAGCGCUGGGUGAGUACGACUGCACAUUGUCUCUGCGCCUGCCUCUCUCCGUGGCACGAGGCCAGCUAAUAUCUCGCUGAAAGACCGGGCUGCAGCAACUGCUGCGCUCUGAUGCUGCAAGUACUGUUUACCUCCAGAUGGUAAAUAAAACUCAGGAUGGCUCUGAGGGAAAAGACCAGCGCUGAGAUUAAAGAUCCACAUGGAGGUGAAGGUGUUUGCUGCUGUCCUCGGUCUGCACCGGACCCAACGAUCGACAAUCACAUCCACCGAAGCAGCUCCAGAACUGUGAAUAAAGAGUGCCCUCGACUCACACAUCCACACUAAUCACUGUGCACAGAGUGUAUUGACAUCGUAGCUGUAAUUCCAUGGCUGCAGGGAUCUGAGCUAAUGCUGCGUGAGGGAGCAUUAAAGCAAAAGGGAUAAGGGAAGUCAGAGUGACUCCACCAUGUCUGCGUGUUUGAAGUUGUUUGAAGCCGUCGACACCCAGCGACUGCCGUUUUCUGCACACUCCUGAUCAGCCUCUUUCACAUACAGCAGAGAGCAACGAACAGGAAGCCCAGAAUCAGUGAAUGGAGUUCAUUUGCAUGGAUUAUUCCAGAAUAUGUGUGAACCUGCUGCUUGAGAAGGAACACCUUCAAAUGAUCAUUAGGAACAGUCCUGCAGGCCUGGAUGGAGCUGAAUUGUUGCUAUUUACAUCAUAUCAUCGCCUCCGUCUCUCAUAUUUUUAAGAUGAAAACAACAGAGAAUGAAGGCAGAAGAAAGCAGCAGAAAGCGCUGGCAGCUCAGACACAAACUGUAUCAUCUUACCGAGUCGUAAAGUUCCUCAUGAAACUCGACUCAACCCCGUAAUCCUCCGCCCAGACGCAGCCACUUUAAAACUCAUCGAACAGCACGUCUCAGCUCGGAUUUACACCCAGCGUUUGAUUCUUACAGUAAAUUAUGUGUCAUACCGGAUCUUUUCAGCAGCACAGAGGUCGACCUGCUGCACUCCGUCCACCAGGAAAUGAACUUUUAACCUCCUGAAGUCCCAGCAGUGAACCAGCCAAGAAACAAAAAGCUCAUUAAACAGCUGAAGUCCUGACUGAAAUCAGCUGCAUCACUGUUGCACUUUCACAUUAAAGAUAAAUGAUUUCAUCAUUCUAAACUCUGGCAUUGAGUUUUCCCCUGUUUACCUUUCAGUUUCUGAUGCAUUGCACAAACCAACGCCCAGAAAAUUCACCUUGCAGUGUGGGUGAGGAGAUUAAUUCUGCCUUUAAUACACAGAUGAAAGUGAUGACAACAUCUCUGUUUGGCCUAAAGCCUCAGAUACACUCCUGCUCAGCUGGCGAUUUGUAAGCCUGAUAUUAAAACAGGUCUGUUCAAAGCAGCAGCAGCGCGUCUGUAAUGAUGCCUUUCAAACUGUUUGUAUUUCGCUUCAUUAAAAUCAAUCAUCGAUCGUGUAAAUCACACUUCAUGAGCCUGUGCAGGUUUGAUGCUCUGCAGCAGCUGAUUUAAAGCUCUCCAUGCAUUCAUUAGUGGAAAACAAACACCAGCAGUUCUUUAACCGUCUUUAGAAGCAAAGUAUCUUCUGUUAUAUUUAAAAGACAAAAUACAAACAGACCCGACUAAAUUAAAUAUUACAGACAUACAAUUUGUGGAUGAUACAAAUUAUCUAGACCUAAUAAAUUACCUGGAUACUUUAAACUUUAAAGUUAACAUCUAUGCUCUCCGUUUUAUCAGAAGAACCUCCAGCAGAACCAGGUUCAGGGAGAGCAGACGUCUGCCUCAUCAGGUCCAGCUGAUGCUACAUUCACAGCAGUUACACAAAUGUGUGGAAAUGUGUGGGUGAACUACAACCACAUUUGAGUUCUGUGUGUAACGUUGUUCAGUAUUUACUGUUCAGCGACGUUGUUUGAAGUGCCACAUGUUUUCUGCUGCACUCUCUGGGUUUAUGUGGCCGUGAAAUGCAGCAAAUUACACAGAAGCGCUGCAUCGCAUUUUGAAGACGACUCGACCCACAUCAUCUAGACUCUGUCCAAACGUGGCAGGAAGCAGCAGAUCUGGGUCACGGAAGGUUCUGGAUCACGUUUCAGUGGGUGUUAAUCCACUAAAACCUCAUUGUCCUGCAUCCAUCACUCUGCACUCCUUCAACUUUACGCUGCUACAGUUGGAGCCACAGUAACAGCCCUUUAUGUAAUGCCAUCACCCAGUUACUGAAAGAGCCAGUUCACCAAAAAAACACACAUUUUCUCACAUAUUCAUGGAAAAAAACUUGGUUGUCACUGCAGCAGUUUUCAGAUUUGGGAUGUUAAACCAGAGUAAUCUCAAUUUUGAAUGUAAAUUUCCACAAAACCAUCAAAUAUAACCUUUGUAAGCAUUAAUCUGUUCAGUGUUUACAUCCUCACCCCGACCAGUCGAGGCAGAACAUCCCUGAGCCUGGAUCUGAUGGACAUUUCUUCCUGUUCGAACGACUUUUUCCUUUCUGCUGUUACCAAGACGGGGAAUAUUUAGAAUUUUGUUGGGUCUUAACUUUAAUGUUUGAACUACCCAGGUACAUUUCCACAGUUAAGGAUAUUGUAGGGUCCUAAUAUUAUCAUUAGCCAAUUAAAUCUGUGCAUUUAUGGGGAUUUUUGGUUUCUGACAUUUUUGGAUAAUUAAACAUUGGAAACGAACCCAACAGAUAGAGUUAAACCUUUGUAUAAAGAGAGAAAAUGAAUUAAAAUGGUGACAUUAAUCAUAUAUGAAUCUACAGAAUCUAUGCAGAUGCUGAUUUUAGUCUCUUCAGUGGAAGCUUUGGUGACUUUAAGUGCUUAAAAUGUUCUAUUUAUGGAAUAUAUUUCUAUUACAGUCGGUUGUUUUUCGUCUUUAAUCUAUAAAUCGACUUUUAGAUUCUGCAGCAGGAAAAUUUCUCAGAUUUUUUAUAUGGAAAUUGAAAAUAUGAGUGAGAACAGGUGGAUAUUCAUAAUUGUGCACAGCAGUAAAGAAUUAGUUUAUCACAUAUUAUGACUUCUGGCCACAUCUAAUCUUUAAAUAUCUAUUUUUGCCGUCGAAUAGAAGGAAGGAACGACAUAAUUUGAUGCACAUUCAGUGAACAUUUAAGGCGGCAGCUCUCCAGUUUACACCUCACAGAUCAGUUUGUGCGUUUUGCUGGACACAUCGAGCGUCGGAUCACAUCGUUCUCAUUAUUCUGGCUGUUGUGAUGCUCCCUGGAUGCUCACAUCCAGCGUCCGGCCCGAGGCCAACUUACAUUAACCUCUUUUCCACCCAGAGACGGUGGCGAGUUUGACCCAGUCUCUCUUCUUCUUCACAUAAUGGACACAGUUUCACGUCUGUGUUCCUUUUCAAAGUGAAUAACUCCACAAAUACUAAGUGGUUCUAUACAUAUAAAUACAAACGUUUGUGUUUGUGUGUUUUCUAGAGUUCUUUAUGGUCAGUGGAGCCGCUGGUGGAGGUCGGUGCAGCAGCUAAGCUAACUGCUAACCCAGUUUUCUUGCACAUGCAAAGGAAGUGAACCGUUUAGAUCAGGAUGUCAAACUCAUUCUAGUUCAGGACCACAUUCAGCCCAGUUUGAUCUCCAGUGGACCGGACCAGUAAAACCAGCAUAAUAAGCUAUAAAUAACCACAACUCCUAAUGCUUCCUUUGUUUUAGUGCAACAAUGUUCACAUUUAAGGAAUUAUCUUUUUACUAAACAUCAUGAACAACCUGAAAUUUAUGAAGAAAAUAAAUUCAGUUUCACCAACAUUCAGCCUCAGUUUAUCAUUUCCACAUUACAACUUCUUCAAGUGUCGACAAAGGAACACAACAUUUAGUCACAGUUAUCUGGAAAUGAAUGAUAUAGUAUUUUACUUUAUGAUCAGGAUGACAAACAGACAAAAAAAGACAAAAGCAACAAAAACAAGACAAAAUAUUACAAAAAUGAGACACAAAAGGACAAAAACAAACAAAAUGACAAAAAAUGCCACAAACAGCACAAAACAGAGCAAAAAAAUUAAACAAAAAAAUUACAAAGCGACAAAAAAAAUGGAUAAACGGCACAAAACGAGACAAAAACGACAAGCAAGAAACAAAACAACAAAAACAUGAGAUGACAAAAGUCAGACAAAACAAGACAAAAUAUUACAACAACAAAACACAAAACGACAAAAACGUGACACAAAGUGGCAAAAAAAUGAGACACGACACAAAACAGAACAAAAAUUUGACAAAAAAGCUACAAAAUGGCAAAAAAAAUUGACAAAGGACAAAAACACGAGACAAACCGCAAAAGUCAGACAAAAAAUGGCAACAAGACACAACAACAAAUUUGAGAAACAAAGCAACAACAAAUUAGACAAACAACACGAAACAAGCCAAAAAAAUAGACAAAAAAUUUGACAAAAAAAUAACAGUGACAAAAUGGAAAAACAACAAAAACGAGAAACAAAACAACAGAAAUGUGAGACAAAUGACAAAAGUCAGACAAAACAAGACAAAAUAUUACAAAAACAAGACACAAAACAGCGAAAAAUCAGACAAAUGAACAAUCUAGUAUUUUACUUUAUGAUCAAAACAACUUGUCAUGGUCUAGAAAUAAUUUUAAAUUUAUAGUUUUACAAAUUUACAAUCUGCAGUCAAUGUCUUCUCUGGGAUUUUUACACUUUGGGGGCUGGUUUUGGCCCGCGGGCCGCAUGUUGGACACCCCUGUUUUAGAGUCUUCAAAUAGAUUAAUUAGAGAUGUGCACUCCAAGAAAUAAAUACAUAAAAUAGCAGAAAAUGUUCCAGUAGCUCAUUACAGUAUCUAUAGAACGGGAACAGGAUGAUUUCUAUGAAUUAAAAAUGUACAACAGUGAAAAAAUAUGAUGUUUUUCUGUUAUUUAAUGAUUAAUCCAUAAUUUAAAAAUCACUUUUGCUAUUAUUUCAUGGUGUAUCUACGGUCCGUGCACGGAUCUGGAAAUUGGAUUUUCCGUUCUGAAACGAGUAUUGAAAAACAAAAACGACUGGUUAUUUGAUUUUCGUUUUAAAAUACAAAAAUUAAAAUUGAAAUACAAGGCGUUUUUCAUUUUCAUGAUCAAAAAAGGGAUAUACGAUUUUUUAAAAAAUGCUUUGAUUUUCGUUUUAUAUUUAGAAUAACAAGAAAGUAAAAUCAGUAAGAGACAGAAACAAAAAAAGGUCCGUUUUUUCAUUUUCUGAGACCGGAAGUGGUCAUCAGCAAGUGUGGAGCCAAACAGAGUUCGGUGCAUAGACUGUAAAUAAAUUUUUUUUCGUGAGUUUUCAUGGUCAGAAUGAGAGAUCAGGUGGCUGAUCUUAAAAUAAAUCAAUACUGAUUUUUUUUAUAGAGCGUUAAAGUUUUGCGAAGCCAGGGGGCGGGACUACUUGACUGACAUUCCGGUCUGGAAUGAUUGACAGGUCCUAUGGAGGAAGCAGCAGACUCUGCUCUCCUCGUUUGGAUUAAUUCUGAUAUAAUAACUGUUGGUUUAUUUAUCGGUGCAGCAGCAGAACAUUUUCCACAGACAGUUUUCCUGCCCGUUGGCUUGUUUUAACCAGUUUUCUACCUUCGGCUGAUUCUACCAGCAGACACUGAAAGGACUCUGAUAGUUCAAGUGAAAGUAGCAGUUCCUCCUGAAGGUCAGAGAUCGCAGCAUCUGAGGGCCUCUUCAAAAGAAGACGUAGUUGAUGAAGGCGUUCUGGAGCAGGACCAGAAAGACCACGACCAAGCAGCCUUGAGAUCUUAGGCAGCG